UACGAAGGGGGCUAGCGUUGCUCGGAAUCACUGGGCGUAAAGCGCACGUAGGCGGAUUGUUAAGUCAGGGGUGAAAUCCUGGAGCUCAACUCCAGAACUGCCUUUGAUACUGGCGAUCUCGAGUCCGGGAGAGGUGAGUGGAACUGCGAGUGUAGAGGUGAAAUUCGUAGAUAUUCGCAAGAACACCAGUGGCGAAGGCGGCUCACUGGCCCGGUACUGACGCUGAGGUGCGAAAGCGUGGGGAGCAGAGG
rnacentral:rRNA from 1 species